UGUUGAAUGUAGGGUCAGCUAGAUGUAG
rnacentral:sRNA from 1 species